rnacentral:rRNA from 1 species
GACAGAGGAUGCAAGCGUUAUCCGGAAUGAUUGGGCGUAAAGCGUCUGUAGGUGGCUUUUUAAGUUCGCCGUCAAAUCCCAGGGCUCAACCCUGGACAGGUGGUGAAAACUACCAAGCUAGAGUACGGUAGGGGCAGAGGGAAUUUCCGGUGGAGCGAUGAAAUGCGUUGAGAUCGGAAGGAACACCAACAGCGAAAGCACUCUGCUGGGCCGACACUGACACUGAGAGACGAAAGCUAGGGGAGCAAAU